AAAUUGAAGAGUUUGAUCAUGGCUCAGAUUGAACGCUGGCGGCAGGCCUAACACAUGCAAGUCGAACGGUAACAGGAAACAGCUUGCUGUUUCGAUGACGAGUGGCGGACGGGUGAGUAAUGUCUGGGAAACUGCCUGAUGGAGGGGGAUAACUACUGGAAACGGUAGCUAAUACCGCAUAACGUCGCAAGACCAAAGAGGGGGACCUUCGGGC
rnacentral:rRNA from 1 species